rnacentral:rRNA from 1 species
AUGGCGGCGGCGAGUAGGAGCGCGUCGGACACGGCGGAGGGGUGGCGAGAUGGGGGAAGCAUCGACGACGAGGGAGCGGAGGUCGAACUGAGUCUACGGCUUCGGACCGGAAGCAGCAGCAGCGCGGCGAGGAGGAGCAUGACCAUAUUCUACAAUGGCCGGGUGUGCGCCGUCGACGUCACCGAGCUCCAGGCAAGGGAAAUCAUAACCAUGGCAAGCCAACAAAUUCUAACCGAGCAGCAGGACAGCAGCGGCGGCGGCACUGCAGUGGCACAGUGCGGAGCUCAUCAGAAUCCAAGCCAGUCGGCGCCGCAACGUUGGGCUUCACGUCCGCUUCGUCAGGGAGCGGUCACCAGCCAAGCGGCCGCCGCGGGGCUGUCGAUGAAGCGGUCGUUGCAGCAGUUUCUGCAGAAGCGGAAGACAAGGGUCGCCGCCAUGGGUUCGCCGUACGCCGGCGGCCGGCGGGCGGUGCCCUCCUAG